GGGCCCUUAGCUCAGCUGGUAGAGCGGUCGGCUCAUAACCGAUUGGCCGCAGGUUCAAGUCCUGCAGGGCCCACCA
rnacentral:tRNA from 1 species